GACGAACGCUGGCGGCGUGCUUAACACAUGCAAGUCGAACGGUGAAGCGCCUUCCUUUUUGGUGGGUGUGGAUGAGUGGCGAACGGGUGAGUAACACGUGAGUAACCUGCCCCCUCCUUCUGGAUAACCGCAUGAAAGUGUGGCUAAUACGGGAUAUUCUGGGUCUGUCGCAUGAUGGGUCUGGGAAAGAUAUUGUGUCGGUGGGGGAUGGGCUCGCGGCGUAUCAGCUAGUUGGUGGGGUGAUGGCCUACCAAGGCGGCGACGGGUAGCCGGCCUGAGAGGGUGGUCGGCCGCACUCGAACUGAGGCACGCUCCGCACUCCUCCGGGAGGCAGCAGGAGGGAGGCUUACGGAAUGGGGGGAGGCAGGCCGGAGCAACGCCGCCUGCGUGAGGAAGGGGUUCUGUUCGGUUGGCGCUCUUUUUCGGGAAGAACAUAGGUCUGCGUUGUUGGGGGGUGGUUGACGGUACCUAGUAAAAAAGCCCCGGCUAACUACGUG
rnacentral:rRNA from 1 species